GCGCACGGGUGAGUACACGUGACUAACCUACCUUUGAGUGGGGGAUAACUGAGGGAAACCUUAGGUAAUACCGCAUAAUACCCACGGGUCAAAGAAGCAAUUCGCUUAAAGAGGGGGUCGCGGCCGAUUAGUUAGUUGGCGGGGUAAUGGCCCACCAAGACAGUGAUCGGUAUCCGGCCUGAGAGGGCGCACGGACACACUGGAACUGAAACACGGUCCAGACUCCUACGGGAGGCAGCAGUGGGGAAUUUUGCGCAAUGGGGGAAACCCUGACGCAGCAACGCCGCGUGGAGGAUGAAGUACUUCGGUACGUAAACUCCUUUCGAUCGGGACGAUAAUGACGGUACCGGAAGAAGAAGCCCCGGCUAACUUCGUGCCAGCAGCCGCGGUAAUACGAGGGGGGCAAGCGUUGUUCGGAAUUAUUGGGCGUAAAGGGUGCGUAGGCGGUGCAGUGUGUUUGGUGUGAAAUCUCCCGGCUUAACCGGGGAGGGGCCAUCGAAAGCUGUGUGCUUCGGGUUUGGGAAGAGGGGAGUGGAAUUCCCGGUGUAGCGGUGAAAUGC
rnacentral:rRNA from 1 species